rnacentral:rRNA from 1 species
CUGUAAGCGUAUACCAAAGUUGUUGCAGUUAAAACGCUCGUAGUCGGAUUUUGGUGCGCGCCGGGCUGUGCGCGUAGUGCGUGCGGCGCGGGGCGUGCUUUUGUGGAGGGCGGCCGCUCGUGGCUUUGCUGUUGCGGGUGUGUCGGCGCCACCGUUUACUGUGAAAAAAUUAGAGUGUUCAAAGCAGGCGUUUGCCGUGAAUACAUUAGCAUGGAAUAAUAGAAUAGGACUCGUACCUAUUUUGUUGGUUUGUGAGGGCCGAGUAAUGAUUAAGAGGGACGGUUGGGGGCAUUUGUAUUCCGGCGUCAGAGGUGAAAUUCUUGGAUUGCCGGAAGACAAACCGCUGCGAAAGCGUCUGCCAAGGACGUUUUCAUUGAUCAAGAACGAAAGUAAGGGGAUCGAAGACGAUCAGAUACCGUCGUAGUCUUUACUAUAAACGAUGAGAACUGGGGAUCGGGCGGGCAUUAUGAUGACCCGUCCGGGACCCUCCGGGAAACCAAAGUGUUUGCUUUCUGGGGGGAGUAUGGUCGCAAGGCUGAAACUUAAAGGAAUUGACGGAAGGGCAUCACCGGGUGUGGAGCCUGCGGCUUAAUUUGACUCAACACGGGAAAACUUACCAGGUCCGGACAUAGUGAGGAUUGACAGAUUGAGAGCUCUUUCUUGAUUCUAUGGUUGGUGG